rnacentral:rRNA from 2 species
CGAGCUCUGGUAUUGAGUGGUGCUUGCAUCAUGAUUUACAUUUGAGUGAGUGGCGAACUGGUGAGUAACACGUGGGAAACCUGCCCAGAAGCGGGGGAUAACACCUGGAAACAGAUGCUAAUACCGCAUAACAACUUGGACCGCAUGGUCCGAGUUUGAAAGAUGGCUUCGGCUAUCACUUUUGGAUGGUCCCGCGGCGUAUUAGCUAGAUGGUGGGGUAACGGCUCACCAUGGCAAUGAUACGUAGCCGACCUGAGAGGGUAAUCGGCCACAUUGGGACUGAGACACGGCCCAAACUCCUACGGGAGGCAGCAGUAGGGAAUCUUCCACAAUGGACGAAAGUCUGAUGGAGCAACGCCGCGUGAGUGAAGAAGGGUUUCGGCUCGUAAAACUCUGUUGUUAAAGAAGAACAUAUCUGAGAGUAACUGUUCAGGUAUUGACGGUAUUUAACCAGAAAGCCACGGCUAACUACGUGCCAGCAGCCGCGGUAAUACGUAGGUGGCAAGCGUUGUCCGGAUUUAUUGGGCGUAAAGCGAGCGCAGGCGGUUUUUUAAGUCUGAUGUGAAAGCCUUCGGCUCAACCGAAGAAGUGCAUCGGAAACUGGGAAACUUGAGUGCAGAAGAGGACAGUGGAACUCCAUGUGUAGCGGUGAAAUGCGUAGAUAUAUGGAAGAACACCAGUGGCGAAGGCGGCUGUCUGGUCUGUAACUGACGCUGAGGCUCGAAAGUAUGGGUAGCAAACAGGAUUAGAUACCCUGGUAGUCCAUACCGUAAACGAUGAAUGCUAAGUGUUGGAGGGUUUCCGCCCUUCAGUGCUGCAGCUAACGCAUUAAGCAUUCCGCCUGGGGAGUACGGCCGCAAGGCUGAAACUCAAAGGAAUUGACGGGGGCCCGCACAAGCGGUGGAGCAUGUGGUUUAAUUCGAAGCUACGCG